rnacentral:lncRNA from 10 species
AGUGCUGGUUUUUGGAUAUGAAUUUGUCAUUAAGACUACCUGGGCUGACUCUCUUUUCGGACUCAGCCCACCUGCACCCAGGUGAAAUAAACAGCUUUAUUGCUCACACAAAGCCUGUUUGGUGGUCUCUUCACAUGGACGCGCAUGAAAUUUGGUGCCGUGACUCGGAUCGGGGGACCUCCCUUGGGAGAUCAAUCCCCUGUCCUCCUGCUCUUUGCUCCGUGAGAAACAUCCACCUAUGGCCUCAGGUCCUCAGACCGACCAGCCCAAGAAACAUCUCACCAAUUUCAAAUCCGCCACUCCCAGAGCCCCUGGAACUCUGGCCCAAGGCUCUCUGACCGACUCCUUCCCAGAUCUUCUCGGCUUAGCGGCUGAAGACUGACACUGCCCAAUCGCCUCGGAAGCCCCCUAGACCAUCACGCACGCCGAGCUUCGGGUAACUCUC